UUCUUAAUCGUUAUCUAGUGAAAUGAAUUUGAUUUUUACGCAGUUUUUAAGCGUGAAUUCGCUAUUACAGCUUGUCAUUUUAGUUCUGGGAUGUACAUAUUUAGACGCCUGCUUGAUUGGGCCUGUCGGAAAUAACUCUGAUUCCGAAUGCUGUUAUGGCUUCUACAGAGUAAAAAAUAUUUGCAAAGAAUGCCAAGCAGGUUAUUUUGGAGACAAGUGUAGUGUGAAGUGUAUAUAUCCGGAGAAUGGGAAAUCAUGUGGAUUAAAGUGUAAUUGUUCGAUUUCACAUUGUCACAAU